UGAGUCAGUAGUGAAUCAUCGAAUCUUUGAACGCACUUUGCACCUUGUGGCUCUUGUCACAAGGUAUACUUGUUUGAGUAUCCACAACAUCCUCACCUCCCCUUCGGGGCGAAGUGGACCUGAGAUUCGAUGGAUGGGAUGGAUGAUGAUGAUGGCGGCUCCUAACAUGGCCGCCGUCGUCGUCGUCGUCGUCGUCGUUGUCGUCUCUUUAAAUGCAGGCCUGGAUGGCGUGUCUUUGCCGGACGGUGCUCCUCCCCUCUCCUCUGCGGAGGGGCGGGGGAGAAUCGGUGGUUAUUGGGAUAACAUCCUAACAAUAGUCAUGAAGCAUUGACACGCUUGGUCACCUUGUCGGAGCCUCCUUUCCUGUCGGAAGGAGAGGCGCAAGACACACACACGCCAUUCGUGGUGUGACGAAAAUGGAUCUCAAAUCAAGUAGGGUACCCGCUGAACUUAAGCAUAUCAAUAAGCGGAGG
rnacentral:rRNA from 1 species